GCGAAAACUUUACAAUGCUGGCAACAGCGAUAAGGGAACCUCGCGUGCCAGGUUACAAAUCUGGCUGUCGAGAUGCCUAAAAAGCAUUUCAUAGCAAGGGCCGGGCAAGACCGGUGCCAACCGCCGCGGUAACACCGGCGGCUCGAGUGGUAACCGUUAUUAUUGUGUCUAAAGGGUCUGUAGCCGGCCGGAUAAGUCUCUUGAGAAAUCUGGCAGCUUAACUGUCAGGCUUUCAGGAGAUACUGUCUGGCUCGAGGCCGGGAGAGGUGAGAGGUACUUCAGGGGUAGGGGUGAAAUCUUGUAAUCCUUGAAGGACCACCAGUGGCGAAGGUGUCUCAGCAGAACGGACCUGACGGCAAGGGACGAAAGCUAGGGGCACGAACC
rnacentral:rRNA from 1 species